AUUGAACGCUGGCGGCAUGCUUUACACAUGCAAGUCGAACGGUAACAGGGAGCUUGCUCCGCUGACGAGUGGCGAACGGGUGAGUAAUGCGUCGGAACGUGCCGAGUAGUGGGGGAUAACGCAUCGAAAGGUGUGCUAGUACCGCAUACGAACUGAGGUUGAAAGUGGGGGACCUUCGGGCCUCACGCUAUUCGAGCGGCCGAGGUCUGAUUAGCUAGUUGGUGAGGUAAAGGCUCACCAAGGCGACGAUCAGUAGCGGGUCUGAGAGGAUGAUCCGCCACACUGGGACUGAGACACGGCCCAGACUCCUACGGGAGGCAGCAGUGGGGAAUUUUGGACAAUGGGCGCAAGCCUGAUCCAGCCAUGCCGCGUGUCUGAAGAAGGCCUUCGGGUUGUAAAGGACUUUUGUCCGGGAGCAAAUACCCAGUGCUAAUAACGCUGGGGGCUGAGAGUACCGGAAGAAUAAGCACCGGCUAACUACGUGCCAGCCGCCGCGGUAAUAC
rnacentral:rRNA from 1 species